rnacentral:rRNA from 1 species
UUGAUCCUGGCUCAGGAUGAACGCUAGCGGGAGGCUUAAUACAUACAAGUCGAACGGUAACAUGAGAGCUUGCUCUUGAUGACGAGUGGCGCACGGGUGAGUAACGCGUACGCGACCUGCCCUUAAUUGGGGAAUAGCCCUGGGAAACUGGGAUUAAUGCCCCAUAGUAUAUGUAUCGUAGGGAUAUAUAUUAAAGGAUACGAUCUGAUUAAGGAUGGGCGUGCGUGCUAUUAGCUAGUUGGUAAGGUAACGGCUUACCAAGGCGAUGAUAGCUAGGGGGCGUGAGAGCGUGAUCCCCCACACGGGUACUGAGACACGGACCCGACUCCUACGGGAGGCAGCAGUAAGGAAUAUUGGACAAUGUCCGCAAGGGUGAUCCAGCCAUCCCGCGUGCAGGAAGACGGCCCUAUGGGUUGUAAACUGCUUUUAUUAGGGAAGAACGACCUUCAUUAAUGAGGGUGUGACGGUACCUAAAGAAUAAGCACCGGCUAACUCCGUGCCAGCAGCCGCGGUAAUACGGAGGGUGCGAGCGUUAUCCGGAAUCACUGGGUUUAAAGGGUGCGUAGGCGGAAUAGUAAGUCAGGCGUGAAAGGUUACAGCUUAACUGUAGAACUGCGUUUGAUACUGUUAUUCUUGAAUAGAGAUGAGGUCAGCGGACUGCGACAUGUAGCGGUGAAAUGCAUAGAUAUGUCGUAGAACACCGAUUGCGAAGGCAGCUGACUGGACUUUUAUUGACGCUGAGGCACGAAAGCGUGGGGAGCGAACAGGAUUAGAUACCCUGGUAGUCCA